UAAAGAACGUAAUUUGUGUUCAAUUUAGUCCUUUUUACAAACUCCGUGAACCACAAACAAGGACUAAAUUGAACACAAAUUACGUUCUUUAGAA
rnacentral:pre_miRNA from 1 species